rnacentral:misc_RNA from 1 species
GGAAGGAUCAUAUUGUUUGGGGGGUUGUUUGAUUUUAUUGUUAUUUUUUAUUUUGUUUUAAAUGAAUAUAAUCCUCCUGGCGGGGGAUAACUUGGUUUUCGUGACGAUGACGAACGCAGCAAAGCGCGAUAUUUAAUGCGAAUUGCAGAAUUCAGUGAGUCAUCAAAAUUUUCAAUGCAAUGCAGCUUUGGUACAUGUACCUAGCUAUGUUCGUUUGAGUGUUAGCAUGUAGCAGUGAAGCCUAGUGCGUAUGUAUGUCUGUUUUUUAUGAUCAGAUCAAGUGGAUAAUCCGUUGGAAAUAGUAUCAGUCGAAAAACUACUACUACACCAACAACAACACCAUUACAAAACCUCAAAUCGAACAGGAUUACCCCCUGAAUUUAAGCAUAUUAUUAAGGGGAGGAAAGGAAAUCAACAGAGAUUCCCAUAGUAACGGCGAGUGAAAUGGGAAAAGCUCAUCCCUUAGGCAAAGCCACAAAGCUCUGCGAUGCGGGGUAAGAAAUUGUUUCGAGUGUUUGGACACAGUACAAGUCUCUCUUAAAAGAGACGGAAGAGAGGGUGAAACCCCCGUAUACAACUGAGAAUCAAACACGUACCGAGCAAGUUUCAAGAGUAGCGUUGCUUGAAAGUGCAACGUGAAUGAGGAGAUAAAUUUCUUCUAAAGCUAAAUAUUCACGAAAGACCGAUAGCGAACAAGUACCGUGAGGGAAAGUUGAAAAGUACUCUGAAGAGAGAGUCCAUAAGACCUUGAAACCGCCAGGAGUGAAUGGAUAGUGUGGUUGUAUGGUGGGGAUUUAUAGUUAACUAGAUAUCAACACAAACCUACAGUGGCUCAACUUGAAUGAUCUCGGAUCGCACAGGUUGAGCACACUAAAACCGCACUAUCCUCCCGUCUUGAAACACGGACCGGGGAGUCUUCCAUGGAUGCAAGUCGAAUAGUUUUAAAACUAAAAGGCGUAAUGAAAGUGACGUUGUUUUUAACAAACAACAAGGUGGCAAGGCUCAUAGCCAACCCCAUCGCCCGGUGUAGCUAGAGGCAACAUACGAGGUCGAGCAACCAUGGUAGGACCCGAAAGAUGGUGAACUAUACCUGUACAGACUGAAGCCAUGGGAAACUCUGGUGGAAGGUCGUCGCGGUACUGACGUGCAAAUCGUUCGUCCGAUAUGGGUAUAGGGGCGAAAGACCAAUCGAACCAUCUAGUAGCUGGUUCCCUC